GUAGGGAAUAUUGGGCAAUGGAUGCAAGUCUGACCCAGCCAUCCCGCGUGCCGGAAGAAGGCCCUCAGGGUUGUAAACGGCUUUUGACGGUGAAGAACCGACAGGAUGCGUCCUGUUUUGACGGUAGCCGUUGAAUAAGCACCGGCUAACUCCGUGCCAGCAGCCGCGGUAAUACGGAGGGUGCGAGCGUUGUCCGGAUUUAUUGGGUUUAAAGGGUGCGUAGGCUGGAAGGUCAGUCAGCGGUGAAAAGCUAUCGCUUAACGAUAAUCUUGCCGCAGAUACUUCCUUUCUUGGAUGAGGAGGAGGCCACUGGAACGGAUGGUGUAGCGGUGAAAUGCAUAGAUAUCAUCCAGAACACCGAUUGCGAAGGCAGGUGGCUGUACCUUAAUCGACGCUGAUGCACGAAAGCAUGGGGAGCAAACAGGAUUAGAAACCCGGGUAGUCC
rnacentral:rRNA from 1 species